UAGGGAAUCUUCGGCAAUGGACGGAAGUCUGACCGAGCAACGCCGCGUGAGUGAAGAAGGUUUUCGGAUCGUAAAGCUCUGUUGUAAGAGAAGAACGAGUGUGAGAGUGGAAAGUUCACACUGUGACGGUAUCUUACCAGAAAGGGACGGCUAACUACGUGCCAGCAGCCGCGGUAAUACGUAGGUCCCGAGCGUUGUCCGGAUUUAUUGGGCGUAAAGCGAGCGCAGGCGGUUAGAUAAGUCUGAAGUUAAAGGCUGUGGCUUAACCAUAGUACGCUUUGGAAACUGUUUAACUUGAGUGCAAGAGGGGAGAGUGGAAUUCCAUGUGUAGCGGUGAAAUGCGUAGAUAUAUGGAGGAACACCGGUGGCGAAAGCGGCUCUCUGGCUUGUAACUGACGCUGAGGCUCGAAAGCGUGGGGAGCAAACAGGAUUAGAUACCCUGGUAGUCCACGCCGUAAACGAUGAGUGCUAAGUGUUGGAGGGUUUCCGCCCUUCAGUGCUGCAGUUAACGCAUUAAGCACUCCGCCUGGGGAGUACGACCGCAAGGUUG
rnacentral:rRNA from 1 species